GGAAAAGUAAAGACGAGCACCCCUACUAACAUUUACCCUCACUAUUUCUAAAUCUUUAAUGAUCAACAACACCUUUAGAAAAGCAGGCCUUCAAAUACUCACUAAUGAUCCAAACACAGCUUUACGAGAAAAAAAAUAUUUCCAGGAGACCUAAUUUAAUUACAACCUUCAUAAAAAAUAGGCUGAAUCAUUAACCUAUCAGUAAAAGCAGUCUUAAAAGUUAGGUACUGAGAAUAGGAUAACCCAGAAAAGCAAGAACAGCAAAACAUCUCGAACGAUGAGGAGAAGCUACAUAAAUGUAUCUGUAUGAACAUAAUAUAUAUGUACUCACUGCAUCUUGG
rnacentral:misc_RNA from 1 species